UAGUACGUGGUCGUAGACCCGAAACCAGGUGAUCUACCCAUGUCCAGGGUGAAGGUAAGGUAACACUUACUGGAGGCCCGAACCCACGCACGUUGAAAAGUGCGGGGAUGAGGUGUGGGUAGCGGAGAAAUUCCAAUCGAACUUGGAGAUAGCUGGUUCUCUCCGAAAUAGCUUUAGGGCUAGCCUCGUGAUGAGAAUACUGGAGGUAGAGCACUGUUUGGACUAGGGGGCCAUCCCGGUUUACCGAAUUCAGACAAACUCCGAAUGCCAGAUAUUUAUACACGGGAGUCAGACUGCGAGUGAUAAGAUCCGUAGUCAAAAGGGAAACAGCCCAGACCACCAGCUAAGGUCCCAAAGUAAUCGUUAAGUGGAAAAGGAUGUGGCGUUGCACAGACAACCAGGAUGUUGGCUUAGAAGCAGCCAUCAUUUAAAGAGUGCGUAAUAGCUCACUGGUCGAGUGACGCUGCGCCGAAAAUGUAUCGGGGCUAAACGAUUCACCGAAGCUGUGGAUUGACAUCUACGAUGUCAGUGGUAGGAGAGCGUUCUAAGUGCGUUGAAGUCAGACCGGAAGGACUGGUGGAGCGCUUAGAAGUGAGAAUGCCGGUAUGAGUAGCGAAAGACGGGUGAGAAUCCCGUCCACCGUAUGACUAAGGUUUCCUGAGGAAGGCUCGUCCGCUCAGGGUUAGUCGGGACCUAAGCCGAGGCCGAUAGGCGUAGGCGAUGGACAACAGGUUGAUAUUCCUGUACCACCUCCUCACCGUUUGAGAAAUGGGGGGACGCAGUAGGAUAGGGUAAGCGCGCUGUUGGUUAUGCGCGUCCAAGCAGUAAGGCGUGUGUGUAGGCAAAUCCGCACACU
rnacentral:rRNA from 1 species